UUGUUCUGGGCACACGCUUUCCCCUUGGGACAGAUCUAUUGACUUAGCUCUCUGAGAGACAGCUUUGUGCCUUCAGCAACGUCUGUGAUCAGAAAGGAUGACAAGAGGGGACUACGCACUGUGGUUUCUCUGUCACUUUGACCCAGCUCACAGGCCAGAUGAAGAGAAGUUUCUUGGUUGUGGGCCAGCAGAAAGCGUGUGACUGAGAGCUACCUUAAGAGUAGGGUGGAGUGGAGCAGUCUUCAGGAACACGUGAGAAACUGCACGGAGCAACACUUCAGUGACUGAAUUAUAAAGUGCUACAGGAAGCCACGCAGAGGAGGUCUGUUUCAAGAAAAAAGACUUGAAGAAGCCAGGGACAAAACACAAUGCUGCUUUCCUUGCCCAGCUAGGUCCUGAGAUUGAACAAUGGAUGAGUGUUUGGUUGGCAAGCGAGACUCCCGGUGACUACCUUCCUGGUUUAAUGAUUAUGGCAGUGGGAAGUGAUUACACUGGACUCAUAGAACCGCCCUUCCUUUCUCCUAGUUUGGAGCUGGUGUUGAGGAACUUCAUCCUGAGUGACUCUAUUUAGGUUGUUAGUACAGAAGAUAAGGCCAAAACAGUAGACGAUUUCUGGUUUAUUUAGCUCCAGGCGCCGUUCUCUUCCCUUUGUGUCCCUUCUGUCUCCGGGUCCUUCCUUCCUUUUCCUUUGACAGAGUCUCAUGUAACCCAGGCUAGUCUUGAAUUUGAUUUAAAGCAGAGGAUGACCUUGAACUUUAAUCCUUGUGGCUCUACCUCCUAAGUGCUGGUAUUACAGACAAGUGUAAGCACACCUGGUUAUGCAGUGCAGGGGAUUGAAUCCAAGGCCUCAUGCAGGCUAGGUAAGCAUGCUAUCAACAUCCCCGAUGCCCGCUUUAGGAGACAGGUCUCCCAUAGCCCAGGAUGUGCACUCACAUGACACUACAUGCAUGUGGAGAUCAGAGGACAACCUUGUGGAGCUGAUUCUCUCCUUCCAACUUUCCUGGCAUUUAGGGAUUGAACUCAAGUUGCCAGACUUGCAUGGCAAGUCCUCUUAUCUGGUAGGCCAUUUAUAGACGCUAGGGACUAUACUGCCCACAAUGGGCAAAUGUUCUACAGGUUUGCCUACAGCCCCGUCUUACAGAGGCAUUUUCUGAAUUGAUGUUCCCUCCCCUCUGUAGUUUGGGUCAAGUUGACAGAAAAUAGGCACACUAGGGUAUCACCAUGCACUUACCUAUCUCUCCAUGCCUGUUAUCUAUAUCUCUGUUAUCUAUUACUAUAUAUUUAAUAUCUACUAUCGAUCAUCUGUCUACUAUCUACCAAUCAUCUAUAUAUUAUGUAUCAACCUAUUAUCUAUCAAUCAUCUGUCUAUAAUUAUCUAUCUACUAUCUAUCAACCUAUUUAUUAUCUCUCACAC